rnacentral:misc_RNA from 1 species
UUUCCGUAGGUGAACCUGCGGAAGGAUCAUUAAGGAGAAUAUGCCCUUCGGGGUAGAUCUCCCACCCUUUGUUUUUAUUACUUUUGUUGUUUGGCAGGCCCGUCUUCGGACCACCGGCUUCGGCUGGUCAGUGCUAACCAGAGGUCCCAAAACUCUUAUUAUUAAUGUCGUCUGAUUACUAUAUAUUAGUUAAAACUUUUAACAACGGAUCUCUUGGUUCUG